rnacentral:rRNA from 1 species
UACGUAGGGUGCGAGCGUUGUCCGGAAUUAUUGGGCGUAAAGAGCUUGUAGGCGGUUUGUCGCGUCUGCUGUGAAAAUCCGGGGCUCAACCCCGGACUUGCGGUGGGUACGGGCAGACUGGAGUGUGGUAGGGGAGACUGGAAUUCCUGGUGUAGCGGUGGAAUGCGCAGAUAUCAGGAAGAACACCCGUGGCUAAGGCGGCUCUCUAGUACGGUACUGACGCUGAGACGCGAAAGCGUGGGGAGCGAACAGG